rnacentral:rRNA from 1 species
UACGGGGGGGAGCAAGCGUUGUUCGGAUUUACUGGGCGUAAAGGGCGCGUAGGCGGCCAGCACAAGUCAGUUGUGAAAUCUCCGGGCUUAACUCGGAAAGGUCAAACUGAUACUGUGCGGCUAGAGUGCGGAAGGGGGCAACUGGAAUUCUCGGUGUAGCGGUGAAAUGCGUAGAUAUCGAGAGGAACACCUGCGGCGAAGGCGGGUUGCUGGGCCGACACUGACGCUGAGGCGCGAAAGCCAGGGGGAGCGAACGGG